UACGAAGGGUGCAAGCGUUACUCGGAAUUACUGGGCGUAAAGCGUGCGUAGGUGGUUCGUUAAGUCUGAUGUGAAAGCCCUGGGCUCAACCUGGGAAUGGCAUUGGAAACUGGCGACCUAGAGUGCGGUAGAGGGUAGUGGAAUUCCCGGUGUAGCAGUGAAAUGCGUAGAGAUCGGGAGGAACAUCUGUGGCGAAGGCGACUGCCUGGACCAGCACUGACGCUGAGGAGCGAAAGCGUGGGGAGCGAACAGG
rnacentral:rRNA from 1 species